UACACUCCUGCGGGAGGCAGCAGUGGGGAAUUUUGGACAAUGGGCGAAAGCCUGAUCCAGCAAUGCCGCGUGUGUGAAGAAGGCCUUCGGGUUGUAAAGCACUUUUGUCCGGAAAGAAAUCCUUGGCUCUAAUACAGUCGGGGGAUGACGGUACCGGAAGAAUAAGCACCGGCUAACUACGUGCCAGCAGCCGCGGUAAUACGUAGGGUGCGAGCGUUAAUCGGAAUUACUGGGCGUAAAGCGUGCGCAGGCGGUUUGCUAAGACCGAUGUGAAAUCCCCGGGCUCAACCUGGGAACUGCAUUGGUGACUGGCAGGCUAGAGUAUGGCAGAGGGGGGUAGAAUUCCACGUGUAGCAGUGAAAUGCGUAGAGAUGUGGAGGAAUACCGAUGGCGAAGGCAGCCCCCUGGGCCAAUACUGACGCUCAUGCACGAAAGCGUGGGGAGCAAACAGGAUUAGAAACCCUUGUAGUCC
rnacentral:rRNA from 1 species